rnacentral:rRNA from 1 species
UACGGGGAGCAAGCGUUGUUCGGAUUUACUGGCGUAAAGGGCGCGUAGGCGGUCAGCACAAGUCAGUUGUGAAAUCUCCGGGCUUAACUCGGAAAGGUCAACUGAUACUGUGCGACUAGAGUGCAGAAGGGCAACUGGAAUUCUCGGUGUAGCGGUGAAAUGCGUAGAUAUCGAGAGGAACACCUGCGGCGAAGGCGGGUGCUGGGCUGACACUGACGCUGAUGCGCGAAAGCCAGGGAGCGAACGGG